UGAUUUAAUAUAAUUGCCAAUGCCGCGAAAACCUACAGGGUCACACACAAAAGGAUGGAUUGAUGAGAGAUUGAGUAACUAAGGAACACCGUAAGGUACAGUGCACUUAAGUGAAUUGUAGAACAUCGUAAGGUAUGGUGUACUUAAGUAGAAUAAUAAAUAUGGUAAGGUAUCACGCGCUUAAGUGAUUUUGGCAUAUU
rnacentral:lncRNA from 1 species